rnacentral:lncRNA from 1 species
AUAGAGUUAAGUACCGUUAGUUAAAUUCGCAUUGUUAUGGAAGAGCUCUCCGGAAUUUUUUUAGCUUGCAAAAGUGAAACUAUACCCAUGAAACUAACACCUCUGUAUUUCCCUCUCCCCAGCCCCUGACAACCACUAUUCUACUUUCUGUUUCUAUGAAUUUGACUACUAUAGACAACUCAUGACCCGCCUUUGCACAACUAACAAAUUAGCUACAAGAUGAGAAGCUGUGGUUUAGGGGUCAUGCAGCCUCUGGCUCCAAGAGUCUGAACCUCCCCAAAUUGCUCCUGUGGAUAAUAUCACUAUUGUAAAACCUAGAUCAGCGCUUGAGAUAUUUUGCAGACCCUGCACUGGAUGGAUCAACUGAUACCACCCAGACUGGUAAUCUGGCUCAACCAGUUCUGCCAUCCUACCCAGGAACAGAAGACAGCAAGAAAACAUCACUUAAAUCCCCUAUUCAAUCCAUCUCCAACCUAACCAAUCAGCACUCCCCGCCUCCCAAGCUCUUACCCACCAAAUUAUCUUUUAAGACUCUGAUCCCCAUAUGCUUGGGAAGACUGAUCUGAAUAAUAAUAAAACUCUGGUUUCACCCA